rnacentral:rRNA from 1 species
AUGAACGCUGGCGGCGUGCCUAAUACCUGCAAGUCGAGCGAACGGACGAGAAGCUUGCUUCUCUGAUGUUAGCGGCGGACGGGCGAGUAACACGUGGAUAACCUACCUAUAAGACUGGGAUAACUUCGGGAAACCGGAGCUAAUACCGGAUAAUAUUUUGAACCGCAUGGUUCAAAAGUAAAAGACGGUCUUGCUGUCACUUAUAGAUGGAUCCGCGCUGCAUUAGCUAGUUGGUAAGGUAACGGCUUACCAAGGCAACGAUGCAUAGCCGACCUGAGAGGGUGAUCGGCCACACUGGAACUGAGACACGGUCCAGACUCCUACGGGAGGCAGCAGUAGGGAAUCUUCCGCAAUGGGCGAAAGCCUGACGGAGCAACGCCGCGUGAGUGAUGAAGGUCUUCGGAUCGUAAAACUCUGUUAUUAGGGAAGAACAUAUGUGUAAGUAACUGUGCACAUCUUGACGGUACCUAAUCAGAAAGCCACGGCUAACUACGUG